rnacentral:rRNA from 1 species
ACACCAGACUCCUACGGGAGGCAGCAGUGGGGAAUAUUGCACAAUGGGCGCAAGCCUGAUGCAGCCAUGCCGCGUGUAUGAAGAAGGCCUUCGGGUUGUAAAGUACUUUCAGCGGGGAGGAAGGUGUUGAGGUUAAUAACCUUAGCAAUUGACGUUACCCGCAGAAGAAGCACCGGCUAACUCCGUGCCAGCAGCCGCGGUAAUACGGAGGGUGCAAGCGUUAAUCGGAAUUACUGGGCGUAAAGCGCACGCAGGCGGUCUGUCAAGUCGGAUGUGAAAUCCCCGGGCUCAACCUGGGAACUGCAUUCGAAACUGGCAGGCUGGAGUCUUGUAGAGGGGGGUAGAAUUCCAGGUGUAGCGGUGAAAUGCGUAGAGAUCUGGAGGAAUACCGGUGGCGAAGGCGGCCCCCUGGACAAAGACUGACGCUCAGGUGCGAAAGCGUGGGGAGCAAACAGGAUUAGAUACCCCGGUAGCU